rnacentral:rRNA from 1 species
GGUGACCUCGGAUCAGUAGAUANCCCGCUAC